rnacentral:rRNA from 1 species
GAGGGAAGCUACGCACGAGAGAUCUAAGCAUGCCCGUACCGCGGCGACCACCGCCGGCCAGGAGAAGAGGACGGUAGGCGACGGGACAAGAGGAAGGGGAGGAGUAGACGGGCGUCGGGUGUGUAGGCGGGGGCGAGGUCGACGUCCAGAAGGAGGUCUGCCGCUGCCGCCACGGUUUCCCGGGUUGUAGGGUUGACAACCUUCCGUUUAGGGAUCUGGGUUUAGGGGAGGGCGACGUCGGCCUCUGCUGAGGUUCGGGGAGGGUCAGCAUUCGGCCUCCUGCUCCGGGACCUAAGGCAGCGGCUCCUCCUCGGCCGCCAACUCCACCUCCUCCUCCAGCGCCACCACACCUCCUCCAGGCCCUCAUGAACCUCGGCAGCCUCCUCCGGUUCCACAUGUACACGUCGGAAUGGAUGCUGCAGUCGUCGAUCGUGGACUGCGUCGAGAAGCUAGUCCGGCCGCAGCUCCAAAGGAUCUACCGACGAUACGAUGAAAAAAGCUACUAGUUAGUAGCACUCAAAGUUUCUUUGAAGGUUACAAUAGAGGCGGCUCAAGCGGUCACCUUCUUCUUGUAGGCAACUCGGUAGGUUACAGCGGACGACGCCGAUAUGGUCUCCAUACAUAGGGGAACUUUCGAUUAGUCAACUAUCUUCGGGGACAAAGUCAAAUAACAAAGACUUAACCACGGUGAAGACUACCGAGAACAAAGUCAAAUAACAAAGACUUAACCUGUCAUCUAUCUUCGGGGACUUGGCUGGGUAGAUAGAAUACAGUGUAGGUUGUCUAUAUUAGUAUACAAAAACACAACACGUGGUUCUACCGCGUCGUAGUCUACAAAGGACACUGUUAAAGAUGAAACAAAAUACCUUGUUAAGUAUGUUCCCACGUGUUAUACCGUUUGUAUAUAUACGUGAAGAACAUUAAGAUUUUAUUAUACAACGGGUUUUACUUGUUAAGCCGUCAACGUUUAAAAUGUCCUCGCUAAAGGUGACUUCCUUCACUACAAGUGUUAACAGCAAAAUACAAAACUAGAUAAAAGGGAAAAUAAAAAAAUGUUCUCGCUUGAAGAUGUACUACGUUCGAUUGAGGGUCUCGAAUAUGUGCGAUUGACGAUGACUGAGGGUUUCACCUGUGAAAAAUAACAUAUUGACGACCUGUAAAUUACCGAUUGACUUGUCUUAGCUAUUACACAUUUAAUGACUUUGUUUUUCACCUGGCUCGUGUAUCGCCACUUGAAUACACCAAAAAGUCAGUCGAUCGAAGAUGUCGGUAGGUCCUCAUUGUGAUUGACGACCUUGGUCCCAUCUUUCUAUUACUUACUUAAGACUAUAUGUCUUACUAGAACAAUUUCCUAUGCUGAAAACAAGUUAAAAAGGGAGCCUACAACUAAAAUGAACCACUAUCAAUUAGGGUUACGUUGGACAAACAUAAGUACAGACAUCCUCGACUAACCAGAAGAAUAAACUGAACAUCUACUCGUGGUUCGACAAAAAGAAAACUACAUGAAAUGUGUGGAUAAACGAGACCUCUACGAGGAAAACACGUAAGUAAAGUCUGUCAUAAAAUAUUGAAGACAGGUAACUCUUUAAGCCUAGACAAUCAACUAAAUAGAUACACGAAACACAAUUCACUUCUAUUGGAAUACACUUCUAUUAAGUCUGUCACAAUGACAUUGAAAACAGGUAAGUCUUUCACGACUUCCGGCCCAACACAGCUAGGCCAUUCACAACCGCCUGCUAUAUCAAAGGCUAACGAGAACAAAAUAAAAUAACAAAGACUUAACCGGUCAUCUAUCUUCGAGCGAAUUAAUACCACUAAUUAGGUUGCAACAACCUAUAACAAAGUUAGUUUUAGUUAGACACAUUGGAGUAUUAAGUAACCUACAUCCGGUGACCGUCGACGGCGAAAAGACUAUUAUCAUUUGAGGUCCUCAAGAGGUAAACAUGUUUGAAAGUCUCUAAGUAUGUCAAGUCUGUUCAUUAUGAUUUAACGACAUUUAAAAAAUAAACACUGUCCCUGGAGGACGUGUAGCAGAGACAGUGAGACACAGUCGGCACACGAGGACCAUGACCGUCACACAGGUUAGUGUCGGUUAAAAUAACCGUAUGUAUGAACUUGAGACUUGAGAAAAGUCUACCACAACAUUUUUGUAACCGAGUAUCUAAAACAAUCAUUAAUAAUAAGUCUUGUAAAGGAAAAUUCAGUUUCUCUAAACACUAAGUGUAGCUCUCACACCUCCCAAAUUCAAGUCUUUAUGAUCGACUGACGGUUACAUAAUUACCAAUCUGUAAAAAAAUUAGGAUAAAUGAACAGGAGGUCCCAUUAAUAUUAUCGUAGAACUCGGGUCCAUGUCACAAUGACGGUAGAUUGCGGCGAUACAAAAUCGAGGUCUUUAAACCUGGGAGGACUAUUCAAUAUACGAGAAACAACAAUUAACAUCACUAUCAGUGAUACUAACUUAAACAUUCCACUGUUUAACUGUCAAUAACGAACUACUAGAAUGAGAACAAGCAGUGUAACGUAUGAAGAAUGUACCCUUAGUAGUUUACACAUGUAUAUACUGUCAAUAUUGAAUAUCCCCCCUUUAUUGAAUAGGGGAUAUCCGACUAAUAAUUUUCAACAACCUGUUGACAUAAUUGACAUAAAAUAAGGACUAACUCG